CGACUCUCGGCAACGGAUAUCUCGGCUCUCGCAUCGAUGAAGAACGUAGCGAAAUGCGAUACUUGGUGUGAAUUGCAGAAUCCCGUGAACCAUCGAGUCUUUGAACGCAAGUUGCGCCCGAAGCCAUUYGGUCGAGGGCACGUCUGCCUGGGCGUCACGC
rnacentral:rRNA from 1 species